rnacentral:rRNA from 1 species
CGGGGAAUUGGCCCUUAGUAACGGCGAGUGAAGCGGCAACAGCUCAAAUUUGAAAGCUAGCCUUCGGGUUCGCAUUGUAAUUUGUAGAGGAUGCUUUGGGUAAAACGCCAGUCUAAGUUCCUUGGAACAGGACGUCGUAGAGGGUGAGAAUCCCGUAUGUGACUGGAAAUGUUAACCUAUGUAAAGCUCCUUCGACGAGUCGAGUUGUUUGGGAAUGCAGCUCUGAAUGGGAGGUAAAUUUCUUCUAAAGCUAAAUAUUGGCGAGAGACCGAUUGCGCACAAGUAGAGUGAUCGAAAGAUGAAAAGCACUUUGGAAAGAGAGUUAAAAAGCACGUGUGAUUGUUGAAAAGGGAAGCGCUUGCAAUCAGACUUGUUUAAACUGUUCGGCCGGUCUUCUGACCGGUUUACUCUUUUUGGACAGGCCAGCAUCUUUUUCGGCGGCCGGAUAACGGCAUUGUGGAAUGUGGCCUUCACUUCGGUGGAGGUGUUAUAGCCCAGUGUGUAAUACGGCCAGCCCGGGAACUGAAGUUCCGGCGCUUCGGCCUAAGGAGCUUGGCGUAA